GGACCUCAAGUUUAUUUAUUGUAUCAUUUUAAGAGGCAUCAGUUUCACAGUGAUGCCCGGACACCUAGUCAUUAGAAACGGAACCCAACUUUUGAGUCGAUAAGAAAUUGACAAGGGGACCAAAUUUGGGGUGGCUCCAUAACAACGCGCAUGCGUCUCCGAGAGGGCCGCUGGGUUUCCGGGAAGCCCGGAAAUCAUUUUCCCCACGCAAACUCAGUGGCGGCACUUUCAACUGGAUAAACAGGCUUCAAUCCCGCCUUCUAGUUCUAGUGUUUUUUAUGCGAAGAUAACCGAUGGGGAUUGAAACGGAGGCUGUUGAGCUGCAGCAGCUGCUGGCGUCUGAGAGAAGCCUUAGGUGGUCGUCGGCCUAAUGAGCGGGCGGCAAAGAACGCUUUUUCAGACGUGGGGCUCAAGAGUCUCCCGAUCCACUGGGGCUCCGAGUUGCAGCUCUGGAACUGAGCGGCCUCAGAGCCCUGGCAUCUCCGGGGCGAGUUUUACUGCAGCGGCACAGGCAGCAGAGGCGGCGGAGGCGGAGGAGGCGGCAGAGGCUCAGCCCGAGUCGGACGAUGAUGUGUUGCUGGUCGCGGUGUACGAAGCAGAGCGGCAGCUGAGUCUAGAGAAUGGCGGGUUCUGCACCUCAGCGGGCGCCCUGUGGAUUUACCCUACUAAUUGCCCGGUGCGGGACUACCAGCUGCACAUCGCCAGGACCGCUCUGUUCUGCAACACGCUGGUGUGUCUGCCUACCGGUUUGGGAAAGACCUUUAUUGCCGCCGUGGUCAUGUACAAUUUCUACCGCUGGUUCCCCUCCGGCAAGGUUGUCUUCAUGGCCCCCACGAAACCUUUGGUGACACAGCAGAUCGAGGCUUGCUACCGGGUGAUGGGUAUCCCGCAGUCCCACAUGGCCGAAAUGACAGGAUCUACUCAAGCUUUCACCAGGAAGGAAAUAUGGGGCAGUAAAAGAGUCCAUUUUCUUACACCUCAAGUCAUGGUAAAUGAUCUUUCUAGAGGAGCUUGCCCUGCUGCUGAAAUAAAGUGUCUCGUUAUUGAUGAAGCUCAUAAAGCUCUUGGAAAUUAUGCUUAUUGCCAGGUUGUAAGAGAACUAGUCAAAUAUACAACUCACUUUAGAAUCUUGGCUCUUAGUGCCACACCAGGUAGUGAUAUAAAGGCUGUGCAACAGGUUAUUACUAAUCUACUAAUUGGGCAGAUAGAAAUUCGUUCUGAAGAUUCUCCAGAUAUUUUGCCAUACUCUCAUGAAAGACGAGUUGAAAAGCUUGUUGUUCCCCUUGGUGAAGAACUUGGAGCUAUCCAAAAGGCAUAUAUACAGAUUUUGGAAGCACUUGCCAGUUCUUUGAUUCAGAGGAAUGUUUUGAUGAGAAGGGAUAUUCCCAAUCUAACAAAAUACCAGAUAAUUCUGGCAAGAGAUCAAUUUAGGAAAAACCCAUCUCCAAAUAUUGUGGGACUGCAACAAGGCAUAAUCGAGGGAGAGUUUGCUAUUUGUAUUAGUUUAUAUCAUGGUUAUGAGUUAUUGCAGCAAAUGGGAAUGAGAUCAUUAUAUUUCUUCCUUUGUGGAAUUAUGGAUGGAACUAAAGGAAUGACUCGGGCAAAAAAAGAACUUAGCCGAAAUGAGGACUUCAUGAAACUCUAUAAUCAUCUAGAGUGCAUGUUUGCACAUACACGUAGUACUACAGCAAGUGGCAUUUCUGCUAUCAAAAAAGGAGAUGAAGAUAAAAAGUUCUGCUAUAGUCAUCCAAAAUUAAAGAAAUUAGAAGAAGUUGUAGUUGAACACUUCAAGUCAUGGAAUGCUCAAAAGACAUCUGACAAGAAAUGUGACGAGACCAGAGUUAUGAUCUUCUCUUCAUUUCGAGAUAGUGUUCAAGAAAUUGCAGAAAUGCUUUUACAGCAUCAGCCAAUUAUUAGAGUAAUGACUUUUGUUGGCCAUUCCUCAGGGAAAAGCAUGAAGGGUUUUACCCAGAAGGAGCAACUGGAGGUAGUGAAACAAUUUCGUAGUGGUGGUUACAACACAUUGGUUUCUACUUGUGUUGGUGAAGAAGGUUUGGAUAUAGGAGAAGUUGAUCUUAUCAUAUGUUUUGAUGCCCAGAAGAGCCCGAUUCGUCUUGUGCAACGAAUGGGUAGAACUGGCCGCAAACGUCAAGGCAGGAUUGUUGUUAUCCUUGCUGAAGGACGAGAAGAACGGACUUAUAAUCAAAGUCAGUGCAACAAAAGAAAUAUUUAUAAAGCUAUUUCAGGUAAUAGACAGGUCCUUCAUUUUUACCAAGGAAGUCCACGAAUGGUUCCUGAUGGCAUCAAUCCACACUUACAUAAGAUGUUUAUCACGCAUGGUGUCUAUGAACCAGAGAAGUCUUCUCGGAACUUGCAGCGAAAGUCAUCUAUCUUUUCCUAUAGGAAGGGAAUGAGGCAGAGUAAUUCAAAGAAUGAUUGGUUCUUAUCAGAAGAAGAAUUUAAAUUAUGGAACAGACGAUAUAGAUUAAGAGACACUGAUGAAAUUAAGGAAAUAACAUUGCCUCAAGUUCAGUUUCUAUCUUUACAAAAUGAGGAGAACAGACCAACUCAAGAACCAACCACUGGAAUUCAUCAACUCUCUCUCUCUGAAUGGAGACUGUGGCAGGAUCAUCCUUUACCUACAUAUCAAGUUGACCAUUCAGAUCGAUGUCACCAUUUCAUAAACAUUAUGCAAAUGAUAGAAGGAAUGAGACAUGAAGAGGGAGAAUGCAGCUAUGAAUUGGAAAUUAAAUCUUAUUUACAAAUGGAAGAUGUUAGCUCAACAUCUAGUGCUCCCAGGAAUGAAUAUCAUCCUUUUGCCAAUGGCACCUUUACUACUAACAAGAAAUCUUCAUUUACAAAGAAUAGAAAUCAAGGCAAAUCACUCUCAAUGAUGGAAUCUGAUGAAGAAUGUGCUGAAAAUUUUAAACAAAUUCGUAUCAAACCAACUGAAAUUGCUUCUCUAAAAAAAAAAGCUUUCAAAGAACUGAAAAAAGAUCAUCCUAAAAAAGAACAUAAAGAGGUUGUUAUGGGGCCUUUAGAUACUGAUGGCAGUCCUACUGCUGAAAAUAUAUUUCAGGUAGACCUACUAAAUGAUAAAAGGGUAUCAGAUACAGAUGAAGUUGCUGCCACAUGUGCUAUCAGUGAAAAUGUAGGUAAUCGGUCAUGUGGAUUAUUAGCAGAUUGUCAGUUUACAAAUAAACCUACUAGUUCAUUUACUGGAAAUUUUUUAGAUUCUGGUUAUAACAGUUUCAGUGAUGAGAAAUCUCUUUCUUCUAGCUUAUUUUUUCCAUUUGAGGAUGAGCUUUAUAUAGCUAGGACAGAUGACAAAUUUUAUAAUUGUCAUCCAUUAACAAAAGAGAUGCUAGCUAAUGUAGAGAGAUUUUUAUCUCAUUCUCCUCCGCCUCUUAGUGCACUCUCAAAUGUGGAAUAUGAAAUUUCUAAGGGUUCUGCACUUGAGAACUUGCUUUUUCUACCCUACACAGAGUGUUUACAAAAUGACAAAUCCACCUGUUUGAUGUCACAUUCAACUAUAAAUUCUCAACAGAAUUUAGAAUUGAGUUCACUUAAAUUUAUUACUCAUCCUUCUGAAAAAAGUUGCCUUUAUGGUACAAUUAAUGAUAAGAUUUCUGCUGAACCAAGCUUCUGUUACUAUGAUAAAGUACAUAAAGAUAUUAAAAAUGAACGUUUAGUAUCCAACCAUCAUAUUCAAAUAAAUACUGGCCCUCCAAAGUAUUUUGUUGAAGAAAAGAAUCAUGAUGUUGAUAACAGUGGCCUCCCAAUAUUGCAUACUGAUCAGGAUGAGAGUUUGCUGUUAUUUGAGGAUGUUAAUACAGAGUGUAAUGAUGUAAACCUUCCUCCCUUGAACAGUAAAUGCAAAUCUUUAUGUGUGUCAGACAAAACUGCUGUAAGUGAAAUGGCACUGGGCUCUCAGUUCUUAAUUUCUGAUGAACUUUUGUUAGGCAAUAAUUCUGAACCCCACGAUCAAAUUAUCGGUGAUACGAAUAGUUGGAAAUCUCAUGAAGAUUUGAGAGGUGUACAUGAGGAAAAACUGAAGAAUGAUGAAUAUCAUUUUGACUGCUCUAAGGAUUUAUUUUCUGUUACCUUCGAUUUAGGAUUUUGUAGUCCAGAUACUGAUGAUGAAAUACUAGAACAUGCAUCAGAUACAAAUAAGAAUAAAAUUUUAGGUGAUCUAUCUGCAGGAUGUUUAGACAUUAAGGAGAUAAAUGAUGUGAAUUAUGUUUCAAAUCAAGCAGUAAUAUCAAGAGACCAUGUUGAUAGUUCUACAAGUGUAACCAUUACUAACCCAUCAAGUGAAGAUAAGCAGAGUCCAACUUUUGCAUGUUUUCCAAUGAAUGCAACAAAAAAUAAAGAAUUUAUGUCUCCUGGUUAUUCUCAAUUUUCAUUGCCAGUAGGAGAGAAAGUUAUGAGUACACCACUUUCUCAGUCAAACACGCUGAACUCAUUUUCUAAGAAGAGAAUAGAAAUGGCUAGGAAGUCAGAUUCCAAUAAGGGAAAAAUAAAUCUACAAAGUUUCAAAGAAACAUUGAAUUCAACUUUUGAUGAUUCAGGACUUUCUAUAGAAAAGGCUAAGAGCAGGGAACAAAUCAAUCUGCAUCAAUCCUGCUGUUCUGCUAAAGUUAUAGAUGAACAGUUAACAAGCAGUGAAAGUGAAGAUGAUGAGAUUUUCCGAAGAAAAAGUAAAAAGACAAAAGGAAAUGUUUUGGAGUCCCCCGAGAAUCAGAAAAAUAGCGAAGUUGAUUCUCCACUUCAUGCUGUCAAAAAGCGCAGGGCUCCUCCAAACAGAUUAGAGUUAUCAUCUAGUGAUGAGAGUGAGAAUUUUAGCAAACGAGAUCCACAAUCAGCAGACUUCAAGGAUCAUAAUAAAAGAGGCAUCAAAGUCCAAAAGAGACUGAGUCACCUAAAGCUUGUAGCUAGGAAGUUUUUAGAUGAUGAAGCAGAACUUUCCCAAGAAAAUGCAGAAUGUGUUUCAUCAGAUGAAAAUGAUGAGUCAGAAAAUGAACAGGAUUCCUCGUUACUUGACUUUUUAAAUGAUGAGACUCAACUGUCACAGGCUAUAAAUGAUUCUGAAAUGAGAGCUAUUUACAUGAAAUCUGUGCGAAGUCCACUGAUGAACAAUCGGUACAAAAUGGUCCAUAAGAAACGUAACAACGUAAACAUUUUCUCACAGAUUCCUGAGCAAGAUGAAACCUAUUUAGAAGACAGUUUUUGUGUUGAUGAAGAGGAGUCUUGCAAAAGCCAAUCAAGUGAAGAAGUCUGUGUUGAUUUUAACCUAAUAACUGAAGAUUGCUUUGCAAGUAGGAGUAAAAAAUAUAAAACCCGACGUGCAGUAAAGCUAAAACAAAUGAAGAUGAGACAAAACUGUGCAUCUUCAAAAAAAAAAUUAUUCAGAAUUAUUUUACCAGAUGAUUCAAGUGAGGAGGAAAACGAUGUAAAUGAUAAACAGGAAUCCAGCACUGUGAUUAAUCCAAGUGCAGUUAUCAAGAGUGAACAACAAAACCGCUGUUUGAAUUUAGUGCCUUCUGGGUCUUCAUUGCAGUCCAGGGACCACUCUAAUCCAGUUGUUAAUCAGUCACCAAACCAGAGACAACAGACACCGCUUAAUUUAAAGGUUACAGUUUCUGAUGUCUCAGACUUCAAACCUCAGAGCCGUACUAAAAUUGAAUCUACCUCAUCAUCAUUCACUACUGUUGAUUCACAGAACGACUGUAGAAAAUUUCCAAUUCAGUUGAAGGAUACUAGUGCUCUGGAGGAUUCUGGCACUUCAGUGGCAUACUGUUCCAACCCACGACCACACUUGGCUGGCAGACAUGCUCCUCUUAGACUUCCACAGGAAGGCCAAAGAACUUGUAUUCUUGUAGAUAGUCGUGAAAUCACUUCUGGUUCAGAAGUAAUUUCUUCCCUAAGAGCAGUUCAUGGCUUACAGGUAGAGGUUUGUCCUCUUAAUGGUUGUGAUUAUAUUGUGAGUAACCGCAUGGUAGUGGAAAGGAGGUCUCAAUCUGAGAUGUUAAAUAGUAUCAAUAAGAACAAGCUCAUUGACCAGAUCCAGUACCUACAGAGCAUGUUUGAAAGAAUAUGUGUGAUUGUGGAAAAGGACAGAGAAAAAACAGGAGACACAUCCAGGAUGUUUAGGAGAACAAAGAGCUAUGACAGCCUGCUGACUACCUUAACUGGUGCUGGAAUCCGAAUUCUUUUCAGUUCCUGCCAAGAAGAAACUGCAGAUUUACUAAAGGAAUUGUCUUUAGUGGAACAAAGAAAGAAUGUUGGUAUUCAUGUUUCAACAGUGGUGAACAGUAAUAAAUGUGAGGCACUUCAAUUUUAUCUAAGUAUUCCCAAUAUAAGUUAUAUAACUGCACUGAAUAUGUGUCACCAGUUUUCAUCUGUGAAAAAGAUGACAAAUAGCUCACCUCAAGAAAUCUCCAUGUAUGCACAAGUAACUCAUCAAAAAGCUGAGGAGAUCUAUAGAUAUAUUCACUAUAUAUUUGACAUGCAAAUGUUGCCAAAGGAUCUUAACCAAGGUUGCACUUGACUAUUGACCCUAUCGUUUAUUGAUCCAUCUUAUUGUCUGUCUUUGAGCCCGUCAAGUCUUUCUUUUCCACUUUUAAGUCUCCUUUGGAGGUUAACUUAAACCUUACUAGUUUAUCUAAUGACCCAAUGGAAAGAAACGGGAAUAACCAGCCUCCUUAUUCUCCGAGGAUGCAAGAAUAUUGAAAUUAGGCCAAUUAAUAAGCCUACAAUAUCCUCUAAAUGUUCAAGUGAAAGGAAGAGUUGCAGGUCUCUCACUUUAAAUCAAAAGCUAGAAAUGAUUAAGCUUAGUGAGGAAGGCAUGUGAAGAGCUGACACAGGCUGAAAGCUAGGCCUCUUGUGCCAAACAGUUAGCAAGGUUGUGAAUGUAAAGGAAAAAGUGCUCGGAGGAAAUUAAAAGUGCUACUCUAGUGAACACACAAAUGAUAACAAAUAGCCUUAUUGCUGAUAUGGAGAAAGUUUAGCGAUCUGGAUAGAAGAUCAAACCAGUCACAAGAUUCUUUGAAGCCAAAGUCUAAUCUAGAGCAAGGUCCUAACUUUCUUUAAUACUCUGAAGGGUGAGAGAGGUGAGGAAGCUGCAGAUGAAGUCUGAAGCUAGCAGAGGUUGGCUCAUGAGGUUUAAUGAAAGAAGUGUCUCCAUAACAUAAAAGUACAAAGUGAAGCAGCAAGUGCUAAUGUAGAAGCUGCAGCAAGUUAUCCAAAAGCUCUAGCUAAGAUCAUCAAUGAUCGUGGCUACACUACAACAGAUUUUCAAUGCAGACAAAACAGUCUUCUAUUGGAAGAAGAUGCCAUCUAUGACUUUUAUAGCUAAGGAGGAAAAGUCAAUGGUUGGCUUCAAAUGACAGGCUGACUCUCUUGAUACAGGCUCAUGUAGCAGGGGACUUGAAGUUGAAGCCAAUGCUUAUUUACCAUUCUGAAAAUUCUAGGGUCCUUAGGUAGAUUAUGCUAAAUCUUCUCUACCUGUGCUCUAUAAAUGGAAUAACAAAGCCUGGAGGUCAGCACAUCUAUUUACAACAAGGUUUACUAAAUUAUUUUAAGCCCAUUGUGGAGAGCUACUGUUCAGAAAGAAAGAUUCCUUUCAAAAUAUUACUGCUCAUUUACAGUGUACCUGGUCACCUGAGAGCUCUGAUGGAGAUGUACAAGAUUUAUGUUGUUUUCAGCCUGCUAACAUAACAUCCAUUCUGCAGCUUAUGAAUCAAGGAGUAAUUUUGAUUUUCAAGUCUUAUUAUUUAAGAAAUAUAUUUCCUAAGGCUAGAGCUGCCAUAGAUAGUGAUUCCUCUGAUGGAUCAAAGUAAAUUCUGGAAAGGAUUCACCAUUAAGAUGCCAUUAAGAAUAUUCAUGAUUCAUGGGAAGAGGUCUAUUAAAAUAUCAACAUUCACAGGAGUUUGGAAGAAGCUGAUUCCAACCCUCAUGAAUGACUUGGAGGAGUUAAAGACUUCAGUGGAGGAAGUCACUGCAGAUGUAGUAGAAAUAGCAGGAGAACUACAAUUAGAAGUGGAGCCUAAAGAUGUGGCUGAAUUGCUACAACCUCACGAUAAAACUUGAACUUAUGAGGAACUGCUUCUUAUGGAUGAGUAAAGAAAGUGAUUUUAUGAGAUGAAAUCUA